CAAAAUUUAGACACAAUGUUUUACAAAAACAUUGCAGAUUCAAUUCAUAUUAGAUAUAUAAUAACUCAAAGAGCAUCACAUAUAUGGAAUAAAGUCAAGCUGAUGGGAAUAAGAUUUUUUCCUUUUUAUCCUGCGUUAAUUGAAAGAAAAUCCAAAAAACUAAAUCAACUCUUUAUAAACUUAAGGGUCUGCAAUAUAUCAUGAUCUAAUGUUGUCGUUAUUCUUCUUGAGCAACUCCUCGUUCAUCUCUUUGUUG
rnacentral:misc_RNA from 1 species